rnacentral:rRNA from 1 species
CAGUAGCCGCGGUAAUACGGAGGGCGCGAGCGUUACCCGGAUUUACUGGGCGUAAAGGGCGUGUAGGCGGCCUGGGGCGUCCCAUGUGAAAGGCCACGGCUCAACCGUGGAGGAGCGUGGGAUACGCUCAGGCUAGAGGAUGGGAGAGGGUGGUGGAAUUCCCGGAGUAGCGGUGAAAUGCGCAGAUACCGGGAGGAACGCCGAUGGCGAAGGCAGCCACCUGGUCCACUUCUGACGCUGAGGCGCGAAAGCGUGGGGAGCAAACCGGAUUAGAUACCCCAGUAGUCCCUGUCUCUUAUAC